rnacentral:rRNA from 1 species
AGUGAACGCUGGCGGUAGGCCUAACACAUGCAAGUCGAACGGCAGCACAGUAAGAGCUUGCUCUUACGGGUGGCGAGUGGCGGACGGGUGAGGAAUACAUCGGAAUCUACUUUUUCGUGGGGGAUAACGUAGGGAAACUUACGCUAAUACCGCAUACGACCUACGGGUGAAAGCAGGGGAUCUUCGGACCUUGCGCGAUUGAAUGAGCCGAUGUCGGAUUAGCUAGUUGGCGGGGUAAAGGCCCACCAAGGCGACGAUCCGUAGCUGGUCUGAGAGGAUGAUCAGCCACACUGGAACUGAGACACGGUCCAGACUCCUACGGGAGGCAGCAGUGGGGAAUAUUGGACAAUGAGCGCAAGCCUGAUCCAGCCAUACCGCGUGGGUGAAGAAGGCCUUCGGGUUGUAAAGCCCUUUUGUUGGGAAAGAAAAGCAGCAGGUUGAUACCCCGCUGUACUGACGGUACCCAAAGAAUAAGCACCGGCUAACUUCGUG